rnacentral:rRNA from 1 species
AACGAGACCUUAACCUGCUAAAUUGCCCGUAUUGCUUUGGCAGUACGCUGGCUUCUUAGAGGGACUAUCGGCUCAAGCCGAUGGAAGUUUGAGGCAAUAACAGGUCUGUGAUGCCCUUAGAUGUUCUGGGCCGCACGCGCGCUACACUGACGGAGCCAGCGAGUACUUCCUUGUCCGAAAGGUCCGGGUAAUCUUGUGAAACUCU